UAAGUUCACUUUGGAUCAACUUAGCAAUAGCGUGUUAUUAGAAGGCGAAUGCCGCUCAAAAUCAUCAAAGUUCGAUAGCUGAAAUGUUAGAAAUGCACAGAUAAGUGUAUAUGACAUCAGGGCCUGAUGUAAAAAUAGAGAUAGCGCGUAUUCCUGGGUCAAAAGAAUCAAUUUGAGAAAUAUAAGAGGAAUGCGCGAAACUGAAAAUAGUUCAUGACUCAGCACUUUUAUGUCAACAUCAUCACAUGACUUCUCAGAGGAAAGUAUUGACGGAAUUCAAGGCCAAAAGUCAUUUUCAAGACUUUACGUAAAACAAGGCUUGCCUUUAGGAUGUUAAAGAUAACUUUAAAUACUUCUAUGCAAGGUCAAACUGCGCUUGGAAACCGCCUGACGCCCGGUAACUGCGGAGUACAUACGAUCUUAACUUGAUGAAGACUUUUCAAGAAUUGGAUGCGAAGCCGGCCGCUGGACGGUCGAGGUUUUUAAAGUAUAGGACAAUUGCUUUAAAUUGAAAGGUAAAUUUGAGAUGGUAUCUUAACCCAAGAUGGCUGCUUUAUUCAAGAUGGCGGCCAAAAUUUGCCAAUUUUUGCAAAAAGAAAUAAAAAUGAAGAGAUCUGCACAACCGUUUUGGUCAUUCACAAAGUACAGAAUGAGUAAAGAGCGCGGCAAACGGCUAUGAUCCCGUGAAAGAAAUAUCAAAUCAGAGUACAUGAUAAGUGCCCGCCAAAGAGAAUGAAGGAAAGAAAGAAAGAAAUUUGUUGGUGAUCUAUUCGUUUAUUAAAUAUCUAGGUCCUCCAGCAGCAAAAAUGUUGGUAAUAGCUGGUGUCUAGCUUCACCUACCUUAAUAGAUAUCCAGAACUAACAGACUGAAGAUAUUCUGCGUUUUGUCCAAAAGCACAUUAAAUCUGCAUAAGGUAAUAGAGAUAAUGCCUACUAAGCUUAAAUGUACAUUUAGUUUAAAUGCCUGAAAUACAAGUAUGUGUAAAUGUUCACAUGCCUUUUGUCAAGUGAAAAGUACUGCUGUCAUAAAUACAUUUUAAUACAUGUAAUGUUUUUUUAAUGUUUUCAGUUUGUCACCAUCUAAGUAAGAUGUAUGAUAAAAUUGUUUUAUUUUGGCAACAAAACCUAUUUACACUACUGUGCCUGAUCAGUUAAUUGAGGAUUAUGGUAAAUCAGGGGAGUAUAAAUUAACCUUUAAAGGAAUUCAAGUAAAAGACAUUACUUGAAGAGAUUUAAGAUUAAAACUUGUUUUGAAUAAAUUAGAAAAUAUAAUAUUCCUUAAUGAAAGAGUACCAAGUGAAGUGUGGAAUAACAAAUUUUGGUAUGUUCUCGGUCAGCAAUAAGAGCAGUGCAGUGGAAAAUUUUGCAUGGAAUUUAUCCAACGCACGGGUUUUAGGAUCGUAUGUCCCCUGCGAAUUUUGCGUGCAGUAGAAUCCGUGGAGGUCGAAGAGGUAGAGGGAAGUCUGCCUUGCGAGUUGCAAGAGGCAAAUGAGAUGUUCUUUCAAGCAGAGACGCUAAUUGCAAGGUGCAAAGGUCGUGGGAAUUGUACUCAUUUAAGCUUAGGUCCCAACCGAACGUUCGGGCUGCUACGUGUGGUCUACGGCCAAAAAAAGGGGGAAAACGUGGGAGUUCGUGCGUGAGGAGCACGUCUAUCGUACGACUUUUGGUGGACGCAAACAGCACGUAGAAACUUUUUACCAAUUAUUUGAUUCCUUCUCCGCGAUCUAGCUACGUCCUAGCCGGACGCAAGGAACUGAAAGACCGUGCGUCCAAAACGAAGUUGGGACCUAGGCUUUAUUGAGUUUGUCUUGCUACCUGCGUACGUGUCACGCACUCACCACUAUUGAAGAGAAAGCAACGCACGGCGAAAGUAGUUCCCUUUUGCUUCACACUUGCCUCACACACUUGUGGUGACGUACGCGGUUAGUACGUCAGUUUUGCCUACUGUUCUCUUUUUUCUUCUUCUUUCUCCUUCUUUUCUGCUGUCUAAGCUUAUUUCCUUGCCUUUUGGAAGCAUAUUAGAAGCUGAAUUAAGCAAAAUUCGAAAUUUUUGAAAAUUGUUGUACAGGUUGCACUAUCGUCGUUAAUUUUCGAGACAAGAGCGUGCGUCGUGAGUACACCUUUUAUACUCCUGCCGUAGGGGUGACGCACGUGCGACACGGCCUGACUGUUCGCAGAUUAUUCGUAGAAUCUUUUGGACAUGUCCAACAUCAUCCGUACGUGCAUACGGGCUGUAGCCUAGGUCCCAACCAAACGUGCAGGCUGCUAUGUAUGGGGAAAACGUGGGAGUUCGUGCGUGAGGAGCACGUCCAUCGUGCGACUUUUGAAGGACGCAAACAGCACGUA